rnacentral:rRNA from 1 species
GACGAACGCUGGCGGCGUGCUUAACACAUGCAAGUCGAACGGAAAGGCCCUGCUUUUGUGGGGUGCUCGAGUGGCGAACGGGUGAGUAACACGUGAGUAACCUGCCCUUGACUUUGGGAUAACUUCAGGAAACUGGGGCUAAUACCGGAUAGGAGCUCCUGCUGCAUGGUGGGGGUUGGAAAGUUUCGGCGGUUGGGGAUGGACUCGCGGCUUAUCAGCUUGUUGGUGGGGUAGUGGCUUACCAAGGCUUUGACGGGUAGCCGGCCUGAGAGGGUGACCGGCCACAUUGGGACUGAGAUACGACCCAGACGCCUACGGGAGGCAGCAGUGGGGAAUAUUGCACAAUGGGCGGAAGCCUGAUGCAGCAACGCCGCGUGCGGGAUGACGGCCUUCGGGUUGUAAACCGCUUUCGCCUGUGACGAAGCGUGAGUGACGGUAAUGGGUAAAGAAGCACCGGCUAACUACGUG